rnacentral:rRNA from 1 species
GAAUGCUGACAUAAGUAACGAUAAAGCGGGUGAAAAGCCCGCUCGCCGGAAGACCAAGGGUUCCUGUCCAACGUUAAUCGGGGCAGGGUGAGUCGACCCCUAAGGCGAGGCCGAAAGGCGUAGUCGAUGGGAAACAGGUUAAUAUUCCUGUACUUGGUGUUACUGCGAAGGGGGGACGGAGAAGGCUAUGUUAGCCGGGCGACGGUUGUCCCGGUUUAAGCAUGUAGGCUGGUUAUCCAGGCAAAUCCGGAUAAUCAAGGCUGAGGUGUGAUGA